rnacentral:sRNA from 1 species
ACGCCAGCCGCAGUAUCCCUCAGGUCCUACUCCCCAAGAGGCCAUCCCCAGGGAGCUCAUGCUGCGGGGCUCUGAGCAAGCCCAUCUGCUGGCCUCUACAAAUGCAAACGCCCGGAUCCAACACUGGAUCCGGGCGUUUGCGUC